rnacentral:sRNA from 1 species
GUCGAUAAACUCUUGUGUUGCAAAUGGACGUAAGUCGUCAAUUUUCUCGCC